GACAGAGGGGGCAAACUUUGUUCGGAUUUACUGGGCGUAAAGCGCGUGUAGGCGGCUUUGCAAGUCGGAUGUGAAAGCCCACGGCUCAACCGUGGAAGUGCAUCCGAAACUGCAUGGCUUGAGUCUCGGAGAGGAAGGUGGAAUGCUUGGUGUAGAGGUGAAAUUCGUAGAUAUCAAGCAGAACACCUGCGGCGAAGGCGGCCUUCUGGACGAUGACUGACGCUGAGACGCGAAAGCGUGGGGAGCAAACAGG
rnacentral:rRNA from 1 species